CCUACGGGUGGCAGCAGUGAGGAAUAUUGGUCAAUGGACGGAAGUCUGAACCAGCCAUGCCUCGUGCAGGAUGACGGCGCUAUGAGUUGUAAACCGCUUUUGUACGAGAAUAAUAGUUCUUACGUGUAGGGAUUUGAAUGUAUCGUACGAAUAAGGAUCGGCUAACUCCGUGCCAGCGGCCGUGGGAAUCAGGAGGAGUCGGGCGGUAUCCGGAUUUAUUGGGGUUAAGGGGUGCGUAGGUUGUCGGAUAAGUUAGAGGUCAAAUGUCGGGGCUUAACCCCGUGCCUGCCUCUGAUACUGGUCGACUAGAGAGCGGAUGCAGCAGGCGGAAUGAGUAGUGUAGCGGUGAAAUGCUUAGAUAUUACUCAGAACACCGAUUGCGCAGGCAGCUUGCUAAUCCGCAUCUGACGCUGAUGCACGAAAGCGUGGGUAGCGAACAGGAUUAGAUACCCCUGUAGUC
rnacentral:rRNA from 1 species